GAUGAACGCUGGCGGCGUGCCUAACACAUGCAAGUCGAGCGAUUCUCUUCGGAGAAGAGCGGCGGACGGGUGAGUAACGCGUGGGUAACCUGCCCUGUACACACGGAUAACAUACCGAAAGGUAUGCUAAUACGAGAUAAUAUACUUUUAUCGCAUGGUAGAAGUAUCAAAGCUCCGGCGGUACAGGAUGGACCCGCGUCUGAUUAGCUAGUUGGUAAGGUAACGGCUUACCAAGGCGACGAUCAGUAGCCGACCUGGGAGGGUGAUCGGCCACAUUGGAACUGAGACACGGUCCAAACUCCUACGGGAGGCAGCAGUGGGGAAUAUUGCACAAUGGGCGAAAGCCUGAUGCAGCAACGCCGCGUGAGCGAUGAAGGCCUCGGUCGUAAAGCUCUGUCC
rnacentral:rRNA from 1 species